rnacentral:rRNA from 1 species
CCCUUAGACGUCCUGGGCCGCACGCGCGCUACACUGACCAGUGCAACAAGCAUCCGUCCUUGGCCGACAGGCUCGGGCAAUCUUUGAACGCUGGUCGUGAUGGGGAUAGACUUUUGCAAUUUUUGGUCUUCAACGAGGAAUUCCUAGUAAACGCAAGUCAUCAACUUGCAUUGAUUACGUCCCUGCCCUUUGUACACACCGCCCGUCGCACCUACCGAUUGAAUGGUCCGGUGAAGCCUCCGGAUUGGCGCGCACCUCGGUGCCGCCGAGAAGUUGGCUAAACCUUACCAUUUAGAGGAAGGUGAAGUCGUAACA